rnacentral:lncRNA from 1 species
UUUUUUUUUUUAUAUUUAUGUCACCCGAUCGACAAUGUCGGGUGACAUAUUGCUUUUCCUCUGUUUCUUUUUCUGUAUUAUUAUGUCACCCGAUCGACAAUGUCGGGUGACAUAUUGCUAUUCCUCUGUUUCUUUUUCACUAUUAUUAUUAUUAUUAUUAUUCUUCCACCUAGUUUUGUCCGGCAGUUUUCUCAGAGCAAAAGGAACCAAUCUGAAUGAUGGUGCACUAUAACAAGGAACCCUGACUUUCCAGUUGCAGUGCAACUUUGGAACUAAAAAAUGGCUGCCAUCACCAUGGAAACCGAAAAAUAAUGGAAAAUUCCAGUUUUUGGUUUUGAUGAAUUAUUUGGAAAUGCUUUAACUUAGAAUCAUUAUAUUUUGAUACAAUGUAGGUGCCGGGCAUAUACUGCUUUGGGAUGAUUUUGGCAAUCAUUGGAACUACUAUGUUGCCAUGGAUACUGCACCAAAAAAUUCCAAAAUAUGGAAAUGCUCCAAAUUUUAUAAAACUUCUCAGUAACGAUGAGCAACAUUGGUAGAUAAAGAAUUUGGCGUUGGAAUUUCGAAAAUGUCUACCGUUACCAUGGAAACAAUGCAAAACAGGUCAAAAUGGUCCAAAAACCUAAAAGUGGCAUAUACUUUCUUAAAAUGGUAGGUCAAAUUGAUUGAAACUUUGAUGGUAUGGUCCCUCCCAUAUACCAAUGUGGUAUCUGCCAUUUAAUUUUGGGAAUAGUGUCUGUUGUCAUAGGAACCAACCAAAAUGUCAAAAAUUUCAAAAAUUUCAAAAUGCUCAAAAAUUGAUGAAACUUAAUAGGAUUGUUGACUGGCAAGUCUGCAUGAGACUUUUGAAGUUGGAAUUUCCAAAAUGGCCACCGUUGCCAUGGAAACUGCGGAAAUGUCAAAUAUUUUCAAAAUGCUCCAAACUUAAUGAAACUUAAUAUUAUUGUAAACUGGCAUGUAUAGAU